rnacentral:tmRNA from 1 species
GGCCCGACGUUAUUGGGCCAAUUCAUAGUUGCCAAUGACAACUAUGCUCCGGUUGCUCAGGCCGCGUAAGCGGUUUGAAUAACCAAGCCUACAAGCCCUAGCCGUCUUAGCAGCGGUUAGGCGGGGUUCGGAGGCACCUGGCAACAGAAGCCUCCACU